rnacentral:rRNA from 1 species
GCCUGCGUGAAGUUGGAAUCGCUAGUAAUCGCGGAUCAGCAUGCCGCGGUGAAUACGUUCCCGGGCCUUGUACACACCGCCCGUCACACCAUGAGAGUCGGGAACACCCGAAGUCCGUAGCCUAACAGCAAUGGGGGCGCCGGCCGAAGGUGGGUUCGAUAAUUGGGUGAAGUCGUAACAAGGUAGC